rnacentral:rRNA from 1 species
CCUACGGGCGACAGCAGUGAGGAAUAUUGGUCAAUGGACGAGAGUCUGAACCAGCCAAGUAGCGUGAAGGAUGACUGCCCUAUGGGUUGUAAACUUCUUUUAUAUGGGAAUAAAACGUUCCACGUGUGGGAUUUUGUAUGUACCAUAUGAAUAAGGAUCGGCUAACUCCGUGCCAGCAGCCGCGGUAAUACGGAGGAUCCGAGCGUUAUCCGGAUUUAUUGGGUUUAAAGGGAGCGUAGGUGGAUUGUUAAGUCAGUUGUGAAAGUUUGCGGCUCAACCGUAAAAUUGCAGUUGAAACUGGCAGUCUUGAGUACAGUAGAGGUGGGCGGAAUUCGUGGUGUAGCGGUGAAAUGCUUAGAUAUCACGAAGAACUCCGAUUGCGAAGGCAGUUCACUGGACUGCAACUGACACUGAGGCUCGAAAGUGUGGGUAUCAAACAGGAUUAGAUACCCGAGUAGUG